CAGACUUUAAAAACAUAGCUUGGAUGGAGCGUGAGAGUGUCAGAAGCCUUGUUCAAGUCAUCUCCUAGUCCUACAGGAAGGACGUCAACCAUCGCUCUCCCUUCACCUACAGAUCUGUGCCCUUUGCUGAAGAUGGUCUUUCUGUGAAGUGUUAAAGUUGCCACCAUGCGUGUGUUUGAGACUCACAGAGCUGGCUGAAGACCAAAGGCUUGCCUCUAUGGAAGCUGCAGAACUUUUUUUUUCUCCACCAACACAAGAAGAAGAAGAGUGGAGGCAUCUUCCAUGUUCACUAAAGAGAAAGGAGGAAGAGGAAGUGAUGGAAGACGCAGGACUGUUCUGAUCUGUGCAGCUUUAUCAACUUUCUCUUAAACAAAAAGAUUAUUAGCUCUCAAGGGGAAACAGGGGUGGGCAGGAAAGGGAGAGCAGUCGCUCCCCUGGCUCUUCCCGCAGCCCUCAGGCCCAAGAGGCAUGCUGGUGCACAGGGCUGCAAUGGCAGCAGCUGCCUCCCUCCUUUCUGCUGGCUGGAAUCCCAGACAGCUCCAGGAAGAAAGGGAGAAUGAAUGGUCUGAAAUACAGCCAAAAUUCAGCUGCAUAGGUGGCAACAUUUGAAGUAAGUCAGGUGCUGGCAAAAGCACAGCAGGCCUAAACCUAGCAGACUACAGGGUUUUCUGUGAAAAACUGAGGGGCAGGGAGACUGGCUUGAUUGCUGUGUGCUGCCUUUCUCCCACCUUGCCUUAUAGCCACUAAAACCAGAGCAGAAACUUUUUUUUUUUUAAUUUCCUCCAGACCUAACUAAAAGAGCAGCUUUGGAAACUGUGACAGCUGGAAGCAAGUCAAUGACCUCCAGCACACUGAUGGCACAGUGCUCAGGAAAAUCACUCUGCAUGCCUUCUUCAAAACUGAACGAGUUUGUCCCAAAGGAAUACCUGAACCAUUAACUUCUCUUGCCAGUGGGGACAGCUGUUAGAGCUCCAAAUAUUUUAAAGGUACUUGGAUCAAAGGGGCAACCAUACUCACACAAACUGUUCCACAGGGCUCCAGCUCGCCCGAGAAGUCGCUGCCCACCGUUUCACCAGGAGUUACCACCUUUCUGCUCUGCUGAUGUACGAAUGCAUGUAACUUGUCUUUGGUCCUGCCAAAAUAAUCGAGUUAGAAAGCAAACACCAAAACCACAGCUACAAGAAAAGUGCUGAACCCAAUGAUCACUGGAGCACUACGUAGUCGUUUGUGCCUCAGCAGAUAGAGUUGAGAUAAGCACCACAUUUCCCUUUCCCACUUUGUGUAUGUUGAAACGACACUGUCUACCAGAGCGUUCGUUGGUAUACCAGGUUUGUUAGCUCUCACCAUUCAACCCAUUCUCAUAAAUCUAAUUUACAGUUGAAACAGAGCAAUUGAAUUGACACCUUUUUGGCAGUAACCUCCAGCAGGAAGAUGGAGGACAAAAAGGAACCUUCUGAAAUGGUUCCGUUGCUGCUGAAACAACGGGUGAAGAUAGUAGUCACUAUUGGCUCUUCUUGCUGGAGGUUACGAUUUUACAAGAAAUUAAACAUGACAUGCAUUAUCAGGAGAUUAGAUGUUUAUGACUGAUGAGCACAUUGCUGACAAGGAAGAAUCAUCCGCGUAGUUCAGGACACGUGCUGUUUCCCCAUACAUGUGGAUUUAACAAAUCGAAAAUUGCAAAGAGAAAAAAACUGGAGACAUUUGUAAAUAAAUAUAAAUAAAAUUGGCUAAUUGAAUGAAUUCAGAAAUACUCGUGGCAGUUCUAGAAAGCAUCAUGUGUCAGUUCAAGAUUGAGAUGUACUGAUAAUUCUACAGAUAUUUGGCUGCAAUUUUGAUUUCUUUUAAAAUGGAAAUUCAUGCAUUCCAAGGUAAAGUUAUGCACUACAGUAAUACAGCUCAGCUUCAUCCUUGCACUGAACAGUAAAUUAGCACAGCUAUAAAUAUUCUCUUCUGUGACAGCCUUACCUACUAGGUAUUACUUCCUUACCAGCUGAAGUGAGCGCACACCAACUUGGCUCCUAUUUUCAGCUCUGACUUUUCCUGAACAGGACAUUUUUCCAGACCAAUCAUAAAUACUGCAGCCACUGGCAGUUACCAGUGCUUGGAGAACCAAGUGAUUAACAUUCCCCCCAUCUGCUAUGAAAGCAGUUUCUGUUCUAGUAUGUUAAAGAUGUCAUAUUCAGCUUAAGCUGGAAUUGUAAAAGUAAGACAGUGGGAGUUAAUGAUUGUUGUCCGUUGCCAAAAUUUGCAGCUUGAGCCAUGCAACAUUAGGAAAAAUCAUCUUUAAUAAACUAUGUCCUCUCUGUUACUAAUUUCACUAAUUAAACAUGUUUUCUGUCAAAAAUGAGCAUUCUCAAUCUCUGUAGACCACCGCAAUAGAAACUUACAGGAUUACUCAACCAGAGCCCUUACCAAUUAAAAAGCAAGCAAAACAAAGCGCAAAACCCAAAAUAAAUAAUAAAAAACCAACCCACCAACUCCAAGUUGUACUCUUUUGACACUUCAACCUUAUCAAGACUAUAUCGUUAUUUUUGUUUGUUUCAAAUUAAAGACAUGCUCCACCAGCCCUAAAAAACAAGUCAAAGAAUCGCUUGAAAAAGUAGCUCAAGCCAGCAGCUAAGAAUUUGAAACUUAUAGUCUAUGUCCUCAUCAGUCAUUUAAAGAGCAGCAUCCCAUCUAAAGGAAAGGGAUAAUUUUUGUCAGAUUCUUAUAAAAAAGGCUUUAUUUUGAACAAAUUUUCUCCAUUUGGUUUUACAGUCUCAACAUACAUCAUAUUCAUGGACAAGCAGCAUUUUCACAGAAUAAGAGCCAAAUACAAAUAAGAGGAAGCCAUUUGGGAUUAACAGUUUCAACCUAAUUGACUCAGACUUCAGAAAAUACUGUAUGCUGUCACUUAUUUGAGGUAAAGGAAUUCCAUAAAUUAAGAUCCACUGUUUAACAGAAGAGCCAACAAUGAAAUACCUGUAUGACAUAGGUACCUUUUGGGUAGAGGGGAAAUCUUACUCUAAGACAAUGGGGUCAACAACAGAAUAAGUAAGUAGGAUGAUUUCCUACCCUUGUAUUGGCAAACCAAUCCAAUUUGGACUACCACAUUAGUUUAACCAAAUUUGUGCAGUGUAAAAUUUGAAAUUUGAUGAAUUUUACUGGUAGGUUCACCUGAAAGGCUGUGUACUAACCGAAGCUUUGUCACGAGCUUGGUUUAUGUGCUGAAUGCUGUCACUAGCCAGACUAUCAGGUAACAACCAGUGUACAAGUUGCAUUUUUUUCCCCUUCAAGUAUUCGGUAAAAUCCAUUGCUUUCUUGCUUUUAGUGCCCUUUAUGACAUAUUCCAGUUAUGUGGUGAAUUUUUGGGUAGCAAUCAGACCAUAAAAGGAAGCAUUUGGUGGAAUUCAAGACUGCUUUCUUAAUAAAAAAAAAAGUAAGGUGGGGUUAGAAAUUGGUUUUCUGCUAUUUGUUCACACAAAAAAAGCACCUGCUAUUUAGCAGUGUUUAGAUAAACGGAUGAAAGCCAUUACAAGGACACAUUUAAAUUAACUUGUUUAAAGAGCACAUUAGCUUUUGUUGACAAUCCAUAUAAAAAAGAUCUUGAGCAUUUGUAAAUAGGAAUGACAUUAUACUAGAUACCGUGUUAAAAAACAAUGGCUCUUCUCACCUUUUUGAGCUUGAGGUUUAAAUUAGCUCACUAAUAAUCCUAAAUCUCACUGAAGAAGAAAUGGAAUUGGAUUAAUAUCCUGCAAACAAGAACUGAGUUAGAAACGUUCAAUUUCUAAUACCUAGCAAAAAUACCACAGGUUUCAGUUCAGCCAUCUAUUCCAGGCACUGUUCAAUUUCUUUCAGUGAAAAAGAAAUGAUAAUUUGAUUUAUGUAUUUGCAACAAAAUGUAAACAGUGAAGCAACCUUCAUGUAGAGAUGAGUUUCUUUUAAAAAGUUACUGCCAGAAUAAAUUCCACGAUCUGUUUGGUUAAACCAUCCAGUACAAAGAAAAUAAAUUCAAAUGGAAUUGGUGCAAGAAUGUAGUUCCAAGAGGUAAAAUAUAUAUACAUUUUUUUUAGACAAGCCCACUUUUCAUUAUCAUUUGGUUUGCCAACUCCAAGUUUCUUUCAGAAAAAUGGUUUUGUACUUAUUUUGGCGACAGACGCUGCUUUGGACACUUCCAUAUCCUUUAUAUUUCUUUUUUUUUAAUAAUCAAGAAGAUCUAUCACUUAGCAAGUUAUUAGACUGAGAGUUAAAGAAGCACUAGUAAAUUCUCUCACAUUGGAAAACUAUAUUGUAUUAGGUAGUUUCAUGUAUGUGAAGUGUAUUUUGCAGAAAUAUGACCAAAAUUUCAUGCAAUGUCACAAACUGAAUAAAAGCAGACAUGAAUGAAUUUAAACUGCAAGUCAGCCAUUGUACAAACAGUCUCUAGAGAUGUUUCAGCAACAUUUCAAUUACAGCUUUAACUCCUUAAGGGAUACACAGCCUAUGAUAUAUAGCUAUUGUGCAAUUCAAUGGAAGAAGUCUUUUUUUCUCUGAGGAAACUGCCAUCUGUCCAUUAUCUUUUAUCAUACUUCAGACCUCAUGAAAAAUAAAGCUAGAAAAAAAUAUUUUCCACUAGCAUGAUAGUUUGCUAUCAUCUCGCACACUAGUGAAAUACUUUUCAUUAAACAACAGCUAGGAGAACAGAGAAUGAGAAAAAUUCAGUCUGUUAAGCAAUUAGGUCCCCGUAUUUAGGACCUUGCAUUUCCUUCAAUAGCUCCAAUGUAACCUGUUGCAUGGAACAUGAGUUUUUAAGAAAGAAACACACUUGGCCUGUUAGGAAUCACUGCAAUAAAAACAUUUUGUUGUUGUUUUCUCCCCCCAACACACGCUGCACUAGGUAACUUUCUAGCCAAGACAAGUAAUUUACUCAAGAAUCAUAAAAAAAAACCCUGAACUAUCAACUCUGUCACUGCCAGGAGUAGCAACUCAACUACUCCAGAGCGCUUAGAAAAUAGGCUUUAGAUUUUACACCAAGAAACUGGAUUUAUUGUAAAUGCCACAGUCACAUUGAUAGACAGAGCACAGACUUCUGGUAACAAACAAACAUACAUUUUUGUAACUAAGCAUAUCUACUUGGUAAAUAAAUGCACUUCGCACAGCCUUCCUUUUAAAUGUGCCUAAGCUAACCUAAAUAAGCAGACAGCAUAGCAGAAAAGGGAAACUUAUGUAACUGUUUCUUAAGCAGUAUAUUAUUUUUACUAUGUAUAUAAUAUUUUAUAUUA